rnacentral:rRNA from 1 species
UACGAAGGGGGCUAGCGUUGUUCGGAAUUACUGGGCGUAAAGCGCACGUAGGCGGAUUGUUAAGUCAGGGGUGAAAUCCUGGAGCUCAACUCCAGAACUGCCUUUGAUACUGGCAAUCUAGAGUCCGGAAGAGGUGAGUGGAACUCCUAGUGUAGAGGUGGAAUUCGUAGAUAUUAGGAAGAACACCAGUGGCGAAGGCGGCUCACUGGUCCGGUACUGACGCUGAGGUGCGAAAGCGUGGGGAGCAAACAGGG